rnacentral:rRNA from 1 species
AUUGAACGCUGGCGGCAUGCCUUACACAUGCCAGUCGAACGGCAGCACGGGUGCUUGCACCUGGUGGCGAGUGGCGAACGGGUGAGUAAUACAUCGGAACAUGUCCUGUAGUGGGGGAUAGCCCGGCGAAAGCCGGAUUAAUACCGCAUACGAUCUACGGAUGAAAGCGGGGGACCUUCGGGCCUCGCGCUAUAGGGUUGGCCGAUGGCUGAUUAGCUAGUUGGUGGGGUAAAGGCCUACCAAGGCGACGAUCAGUAGCUGGUCUGAGAGGACGACCAGCCAAACGGGGAAUGAGACACGCCCCAGGACCCUCGGGGGGGCAGCGGUGGGAAAUUUUGGACAAGGGGGGAAAGCCUGAUCCAGCAAUGCCGCGUGUGUGAAGAAGGCCUUCGGGUUGAAAAGCACUUUUGUCCGGAAAAAAAUCCUUGGCCCUAAUACGGUCGGGGGAUGACGGUCCCGGAAGAAUAAGCACCGGCAAACUACG